rnacentral:rRNA from 1 species
UACAGAGGUCCCGAGCGUUGUUCGGAUUCAUUGGGCGUAAAGGGUGCGUAGGCGGCUUUCUAAGUCUGGUGUGAAAUCCUGGGGCUCAACCCUGGAACUGCACUGGAUACUGGGAGGCUAGAGUACUGGAGAGGAAACUGGAAUUUACGGUGUAGCAGUGAAAUGCGUAGAGAUCGUAAGGAAGACCAGUGGCGAAGGCGAGUUGCUGGACAGGUACUGACGCUGAGGCACGAAGGCCAGGGGAGCAAACGGG